rnacentral:tRNA from 1 species
GCCCUCGUAGCUUAACUCAUCAAAGCAUGGCACUGAAGAUGUCAAGAUGGUCUUCUUCCACCCAAGGGC